rnacentral:rRNA from 1 species
CCUACGGGUGGCAGCAGUGGGGAAUAUUGGACAAUGGGGGCAACCCUGAUCCAGCCAUGCCGCGUGUGUGAAGAAGGCCCUCGGGGUGUAAAGCACUUUCAGUGAGGAAGAACGCCUGGUGGUUAAUACCCAUCAGGAAAGACAUCACUCACAGAAGAAGCACCGGCUAACUCCGUGCCAGCAGCCGCGGUAAUACGGAGGGUGCGAGCGUUAAUCGGAAUUACUGGGCGUAAAGGGCGCGUAGGUGGCUUGAUAAGCCGGUUGUGAAAGCCCCGGGCUCAACCUGGGAACGGCAUCCGGAACUGUCAAGCUAGAGUGCAGGAGAGGAAGGUAGAAUUCCCGGUGUAGCGGUGAAAUGCGUAGAGAUCGGGAGGAAUACCAGUGGCGAAGGCGGCCUUCUGGACUGACACUGACACUGAGGUGCGAAAGCGUGGGUAGCAAACAGGAUUAGAUACCCGUGUAGUC